rnacentral:lncRNA from 7 species
GACCCAGAAACAUCCCACAGGCACUGCACACAGUGACAGACUGGAAGAAACAGACGCCUGCAACUGUAGCUGCAGAAGUUGUUCUAUUCUAAGUGUCUGAGGGAUGGACAUGUUCCAGGUUGUUCGUGGCAGCAAACAACCCAGUUGGUUUUGCCUACAAAACUUGAUGUUAUCAUUGAAGGCUAACAGAGGCACUGGACAAAGCCUCUCUCACAAGAUAACUAGGUCUGACUUAAGACUUCAUUUCAAAGGCUCCGAGAGAUCUACAAGCAAAAAGGCAUCCCAAUGAAGAUGAUACUUGAGUUCUCCUCUUCCUGAGUCAAGAAAGUCAAUGUGAAGCCAAAAUUCCAAACGGGUAAAGAUCUGAGUGAAGACUGCUUCACUACGAAAUGAUAAAUGAAAUACAAGUUGCAAAAUCUACACAGUUACUACCUACAGAUAUCUUACGGAUCCUUCAGGUAUUGUUUUCCAAAAUCAUUCCCAUUAACAUCUUUGAACAUAGACUCAAGUGACUUGACGUUCACAUUUACUCACUGGUAGAGUCCAAAUGCACGUUCCUCCGGAGGGUGGAUGCACUGUGUAUAUGGCUGUAGGCCUAGGCCUGCUUCCAGUGCUGCUCUCAUGGGGUGGGAACCUACAGGACCCACUCUGUUACUUUAUUCAUACUUGAACGUCUCUUAUCUACUAAGAUUUUGCUGGACUUCCUUUUCUUCUUCCCUUUUACUCAUUAUCUCUAGCUCAUUCUUCCUUUUUCUGGAGUUCAUUUGAAAAGUAAAAAAAAAAAAGCGGAUGUGGAACUGUUUCAGUAUAAACAAGUUGUUUCUGCUCUCAUUGGACAGUCUGGGAUCUUUUGUCCUGCACAGGAAGAUCCCUCUCUGGAGGUGGCUGCUGAACAGAGAUCUUUCCUGGUUAACUGCCCCAAUAAGCUUUCUGCUUACAGUGUUUUAACACUUCUGUAACAUUUAAAUUCAACAUUGCAACACUUCACACUGUAACUGCAAAGCUUGUGGAUGUUGGGGAGAUAUUCUUCCCCUCUGCUCCACAAACUGACACGUUUGUUUUGGGGAACCUCGGCACAAAGUACAUUCCAUGUGACAGCACUGGGGAGUUCAAUGGAAGCAGAUUGCAGGCUGGAUUCAUGGAGAGAAAGCUGGAGUAAGUGACUUUGUCAUGAGGUAUGUUCAGAUAUAAAAUAAUCGUGGAUAGAGAGCAGAAAGAAGAAGGGAAAGGAGUUAAAUGAUGUUCUUUUACGUGCUUUGUGAGUCUCUGUAUUAUAGUAUUUAACUUACACUAAGAGAAAUUUCCACAUUAGAAGGAAUGAACUUACUGCACAAGACAAUAGACAGUGUGUGGGGAUAUCAGAUCUUACUGAAAAUACAGUAAAUACAUAAUAAAUACAUAAAUAAAGUG